AACGAACGCUGGCGGCGUGCCUAAUACAUGCAAGUCGAACGCUUUUUCUUUCACCGGAGCUUGCUCCACCGAAAGAAAAAGAGUGGCGAACGGGUGAGUAACACGUGGGUAACCUGCCCAUCAGAAGGGGAUAACACUUGGAAACAGGUGCUAAUACCGUAUAACACUAUUUUCCGCAUGGAAGAAAGUUGAAAGGCGCUUUUGCGUCACUGAUGGAUGGACCCGCGGUGCAUUAGCUAGUUGGUGAGGUAACGGCUCACCAAGGCAACGAUGCAUAGCCGACCUGAGAGGGUGAUCGGCCACACUGGGACUGCGACACGGCCCAGACUCCUACGGGAGGCAGCAGUAGGGAAUCUGCGGCAAUGGACGAAAGUCUGACCGAGCAACGCCGCGUGAGUGAAGAAGGUUUUCGGAUCGUAAAACUCUGUUGUUAGAGAAGAACAAGGAUGAGAGUAAAAUGUUCAUCCCUUGACGGUAUCUAACCAGAAAGCCACGGCUAACUACGUGCCAGCAGCCGCCGUAA
rnacentral:rRNA from 1 species